GAAAGAGUUAGUUGGUGGUGCUAAUGAGAUAAUGAGCCUUAAUAUGAGGGGUAAGAUUAAGCAAUUGCUCAUUAGGGCUAAUGCCAUUUGGGUGUAGAGUUAAUCAAUAAUGACUAGUUAUGUAUAUAGCAAUUAGUCUUAAGAGUUUUGAUAAUAAAGUUACCACUUAUAGAGAGUCCUUUUGUUUUCUCUCAUAUAAUUGUGCUUCUUGAUGUAUAAAACUUUGGUCAUUGCUGGUGUUUUCUUUUGGAAAUGUAGUAACAAUUUUUUGCUUUAUCCAAAGCUAAUGAUAUGAUGGAAGUUAAUAACAAUGAGCAUUAUUUUAAUGUAUUGCAUUUUAGUCUAUAUGAAUGUAUCAAUAAUACCAUUGUUUUAAUUUGUUUGUCCUACUAUCUUUUUUAGUUUGUUUUUAAAAAAAAUGUUUCUUCUCUCUUUUGGGUAACUAAUGU
rnacentral:lncRNA from 1 species